rnacentral:lncRNA from 1 species
CUUAAAAUUACACACAAUUGAGUCUUUUCAGUGUUCUUAAAUUACUAUGACGCAUUUACAUAUUCUUUGAAAAAACUUUUCUUCGCAGACUCGUUUAGUUCAAUUAGCUGAGCUCAUCGUUUCUUGCAUACCAAUGUUUCGUUGUUAUGAAUUAUAAAGUUGUAACGCUCACACUUGGGACAUAUGAUCACGAGUAAAAUUACGAAUUCGGAACUGACUCUAGUG